AUGGAUUUCAUCGAAGGACUCCCUAAAUCUGCUGGGUACAGUGUCAUAUUGGUGGUGGUUGAUAGACAUACUAAAUAUGCCCAUUUCAUUCCUCUUAAAUAUCCCUUUUCUGCUCCUGUUGUGGCCAAAGCAUUUUUGGAGACAGUGGUUAAAUUGCAUGGACCUCCACUUACUAUAGUAUCUGACAGAGACAAGGUUUUCACAAGCAACUUUUGGAGGGAUUUGUUCAAACUAUGGGACACCAAGUUGCACAUGUCUACUGCAUACCACCCACAAACGGAUGGCCAGAGUGAGAGAGUCAAUCAGUGCUUGGAAAUGUAUUUGAGGUGUGCAGUACAUGAUACUCCAACCAAAUGGUAG
rnacentral:rRNA from 1 species